rnacentral:rRNA from 1 species
GACGAACGCUGGCGGCGUGCUUAACACAUGCAAGUCGAACGGAAAGGCCCUGCUUUUGUGGGGUGCUCGAGUGGCGAACGGGUGAGUAACACGUGAGUAUCCUGCCCUUGACUCUGGGAUAACUUUAGGAAACUGGGGCUAAUACCGGAAAGGAGCUCCUGCUGCAUGGUGGGGGUUGGAAAGUUUCGGCGGUUGGGGAUGGACUCGCGGCUUAUCAGCUUGUUGGUGGGGUAGUGGCUUACCAAGGCUUUGACGGGUAGCCGGCCUGAGAGGGUGACCGGCCACAUUGGGACUGAGAUACGGCCCAGACUCCUACGGGAGGCAGAAGUGGGGAAUAGUGCACGAUGGGCGGAAGCCUGAUGCAGCAACGCCGCGUGCGGGAUGACGGCCUUCGGGUUGUAAACCGCUUUCGCCUGUGACGAAGCGUGAGUGACGGUAAUGGGUAAAGAAGCACCGGCUAACUACGUG